UGCAGCCCAGACAAAUUUCCUUAAGGACU
rnacentral:piRNA from 1 species